rnacentral:rRNA from 1 species
AGAGUUUGAUCAUGGCUCAGGAUGAACGCUAGCUACAGGCUUAACACAUGCAAGUCGAGGGGAAACGACAUCGAAAGCUUGCUUUUGAUGGGCGUCGACCGGCGCACGGGUGAGUAACGCGUAUCCAACCUGCCCAUCACUUGGGGAUAACCUUGCGAAAGUAAGACUAAUACCCAAUGAUAUCUCUAGAAGGCAUCUGAAAGAGAUUAAAGAUCUAUCGGUGAUGGAUGGGGAUGCGUCUGAUUAGCUUGUUGGCGGGGUAACGGCCCACCAAAGCAACGAUCAGUAGGGGUUCUGAGAGGAAGGUCCCCCCANAUUGGAACUGAGACACGGUCCAAACUCCUACGGGAGCA